UACAGAGGCCCCAAGCGUUGUUCGGAUUCAUUGGGCGUAAAGGGCGCGUAGGCGGUCAGCACAAGUCAGUUGUGAAAUCUCCGGGCUUAACUCGGAAAGGUCAACUGAUACUGUGCGACUAGAGUGCAGAAGGGGCAACUGGAAUUCUCGGUGUAGCGGUGAAAUGCGUAGAUAUCGAGAGGAACACCUGCGGCGAAGGCGGGUUGCUGGGCUGACACUGACGCUGAGUGACGCGAAAGCCAGGGGAGGCGAACGGG
rnacentral:rRNA from 1 species